AAUCAUGCAACAAUAGGGGACCCAUCAUGAGCCACCAUUGUUUAUGUGUAUAUUUGAGAGAAUAAUAGUAUGCUACUUCUUUUGUUCAUUUUUUAAGAAAUGAACUGAGUAACUAAAUAAUUGUAUGUAAUUGUAAUUGCACCGUAGUUAUAAUUAUAUACAAAUCCAAAUCGGAUGUUUGGUUCGAUCGAUUUGAAUUGCAAUUGAAACUAUAUGAGGAGGCCCAAGUGCACUAAUUGAAACUAUGCCGAAAUUAGCCGUAGUUUCAAGGACAACAGUUUGAGAAAAAUAACUUUAAACAAAAAGUAACCUUACUUUUCUAAUUAUUUUUUAAAUAGAAAAAAAUUUUU
rnacentral:lncRNA from 1 species